UACGUAGGGUGCGAGCGUUAAUCGGAAUUACUGGGCGUAAAGCGUGCGCAGGCGGUUAUGUAAGACAGAUGUGAAAUCCCCGGGCUCAACCUGGGAACUGCGUUUGUGACUGCAUAACUAGAGUACGGCAGAGGGAGGUGGAAUUCCGCGUGUAGCAGUGAAAUGCGUAGAGAUGCGGAGGAACACCGAUGGCGAAGGCAGCCUCCUGGGCCAGUACUGACGCUCAUGCACGAAAGCGUGGGGAGCAAACAGGAUUAGAUACCCUGGUAGUCCACGCCCUAAACGAUGUCAACUAGUUGUUCGGUGAGGAGACUCAUUGAGUAACGCAGCUAACGCGUGAAGUUGACCGCCUGGGGAGUACGGCCGCAAGGUUAAA
rnacentral:rRNA from 1 species